rnacentral:rRNA from 1 species
UACAGAGGUCCCGAGCGUUGUUCGGAUUCAUUGGGCGUAAAGGGUGCGUAGGCGGCGGGGCAAGUCUGAUGUGAAAUCCCGGGGCUCAACCCCGGAACUGCAUUGGAUACUGCCUUGCUCGAGUACUGGAGAGGGAACUGGAAUUUACGGUGUAGCAGUGAAAUGCGUAGAGAUCGUAAGGAAGGCCAGUGGCGAAGGCGAGUUCCUGGACAGUGACUGACGCUGAGGCACGAAGGCCAGGGGGAGCAAACGGGG